GACGAACGCUGGCGGCGUGCUUAACACAUGCAAGUCGAACGGAAAGGCGCUGCUUUUGUGGGGUGCUCGAGUGGCGAACGGGUGUGUAACACGUGAGUAACCUGCCCUUGAAUUUGUGAUAACAUCAGGAAACUGGGGCUCAUACCGCAUAGGAGCUCCUGCUGCACGGUGGGGGUUGGAAAGUUUCGGCGGUUGGGGAUGGUCUGGAGGCUUAUCAGCUUGUUGGUGGGGUAGUCGAUUACCAAGCCUUUGACGGGUAGCCGGCCUGAGAGGUUGACCAGCGACAUUGGUACUGAGAGAGGGACCAGUAGCCUACGGGAGGCAGCAGGGGGGAAUAUUGCAGAAUGGGCGGAAGCGUGAUGCAGCAACGCCGCGUGCGGGAUGACGUCCUUCGGGUUGUAAACCGCUUUCGCCUGUAACGAAGCGGGAGUGACGGUAAUGGGUAAAGAAGCACCGGCUAACUACGUG
rnacentral:rRNA from 1 species